rnacentral:rRNA from 1 species
UACGAAGGGUGCAAGCGUUACUCGGAAUUACUGGGCGUAAAGCGUGCGUAGGUGGUGAGUUAAGUCUGUCGUGAAAGCCCCGGGCUCAACCUGGGAAUGGCGAUGGAUACUGGCUCGCUAGAGUGCGGUAGAGGAGAGUGGAAUUCCCGGUGUAGCAGUGAAAUGCGUAGAGAUCGGAGGAAGACUCAGUGCGAAGGCGGGUCUCUGGACCAG